UCGCAAAUGAUGAUGAUGAUGAUGAUGAUGAUGAUUCUCUUUCUCUGUUAGGUGGCUAUACGCAAAGCGGCGCAAGGCUUUUAAGGAAGUUGGGAGAAGUGAAGCUUCAACAGCUAUUUGGAUUUGGUCGGAACCUAACGGAAUUUUGGAGUUCUAUCAUUACAAGUUGGAAGAAAAAUCCAAAGUUUGGGGUGCUGCGUCUUUCUCACUUAAUGGAUUAACUUAGCUCGUAAAUGUUCCAUUUAAAAUUAUGAGUGUUUUACUUGUAUUAGUACAGUCCUUUUCAACUUUGUUGAAGUGAUAUGCACGUAAUUACUAAUCGCGUAAUUACUAAUCGUGUAUGAGUAUUGAAGAAUGGGUUGUUUUAAGCAUAAGGGUCAUCCCUUCUUACAAAAUGAACCAACGGUCCAAAUAUGUCACAAUAUGGAUUUGAUGAGAAUGCCACAAUAUGGUUGUACUGAUCAGAUGUAGAUUCUAAAAUUUCAAGUACUUCUAUAAUUUCGGA